AUUGAACGCUGGCGGCAGGCCUAACACAUGCAAGUCGAGCGAGCGGCGGACGGGUGAGUAAUGUAUGGGGACUGCCCGAUAGAGGGGGAUAACUACUGGAAACGGUAGCUAAUACCGCAUACUAUCGGAUAACCCAUAUGGGAUUAGCUAGUAGGUGAGGUAAUGGCGCACCUAGGCGACGAUCCCUAGCUGGAAUGAGAGGAUAAUCAGCCACACUGGGACUGGAACACGGCCCAGACUCCUACGGAGGCAGAAGUGGGGAAUAUUGCACACGGGGCGCAAGCCUGAUGCAGCCAUGCCGCGGGUAUGAAGAAGGCCCUAGGGUUGUAAAUUACUUUCAGUCGGGAGGCGUGACCGACAGAAGAAGCACCGGCUAACUCCGUGCCAGCAGCCGCGGUAAUAC
rnacentral:rRNA from 1 species